rnacentral:rRNA from 1 species
CGCAAGCCUGACGGAGCAAGACCACGUGCGGGAUGACGGCCUAAUGGUUGUAAACCGCUUUUCUCUGGGAAGAUGAUGACGGUACCAGAGGAAUCAGCCUCGGCUAACUCCGUGCCAGCAGCCGCGGUAAUACGGAGGAGGCAAGCGUUAUCCGGAAUUAUUGGGCGUAAAGCGUCCGUAGGUGGUUAUUCAAGUCUGCUGUCAAAGCGUGGGGCUUAACUCCAUAGAGGCAGUGGAAACUGGAUGACUUGAGUGCGGUAGGGGUCGAGGGAAUUCCCAGUGUAGCGGUGAAAUGCGUAGAUAUUGGGAAGAACACCAGUGGCGAAAGCGCUCGACUGGGCCUGCACUGACACUGAGGGACGAAAGCUAGGGGAGCG